rnacentral:rRNA from 1 species
UACGAAGGGGGGCUAGCGUUGUUCGGAGUUACUGGGCGUAAAGGGCGCGUAGGCGGCGCACCAAGUCAGGCGUGAAAGCCCUGGGCUCAACCCGGGAAUUGCGCUUGAGACUGGUGUGCUCGAGUACGGGAGAGGAUAGUGGAAUUCCCAGUGUAGAGGUGAAAUUCGUAGAUAUCGGGAGGAACACCAGUGGCGAAGGCGGCGAUCUGGGAAGAUACUGACGCUGAGGUGCGAAAGCGUGGGGAGCAAACAGG